UUCUUUUUAUGCCCCACCUACGAUAGUAGAGGGGCAUUAUGUUUUCUGGUCUGUGCCUCCGUUCGUUCGUUCGUUCGUCCGUCUGUGCGUCCGUUCGCUUCAGGUUAAAGUUUUUGGUCAAGGUAGUUUUUGAAGAAGUUGAAGUCCAAUCAACUUAAAACUUAGUACACAUGUUCCCCAUGAUAUGAUCUUUCUAAUUUUAAUGCCAAAUUACAGUUUUGACCUCAAUUUCAUG
rnacentral:lncRNA from 1 species